AAUGAAAUAUAUUUCAAGUGACCACCUCGUGUCACUAAACCAGUAAAUGUUUUCACUGGUUCGAUCAAAUCGAACCAGCGAAAAAAAUUAGCGAUUAUUUUUUAAUUUUUCUGCAGGCUGAGAGCAGAUUAUUGUGACUAGAUUAUUUGUACCCAACUUUGUGUUGUGUGUGCAGUUUGAACCCAAAUUUGUGUAAACAAGACACGCAAAAGCCGAGAAGACAACAUACGCUGCGUAGAAAACCCAUCGUCAAACAAACGUCAGCGAACGCAAUCUGAAGGAACGCAAUUUCUCGCAGCAGUCGCCACGCCAGCUCACUUCCGCUAGAGCAGAAGAAAAAAGCAACGACGCGGAGAGGACGAUCGCUCCCAGUGAUCCCCGUGAACCGCGUUCAACCGCGUUCUGUUUUCUGUACUCGACCAAACACCAGCACCGCGUGUGCACGCGUACAAGCAAACCUAAACUCUGCCGUGUACAGGCUGUACCCGUACACCAACCUCAAGUUUAAACCGAACCUUGCACCUCGGGUACAAACCUCGUGCAGGCCGACGACGCAGAAAAGAGACAAAUAUAUAUCCCUCACGCGCCCUCUGCUGUAAAGUGGUGUUUCAUUCUCCGCUGCAGUCACACUACAGUGUUUGCCACAGAGAGAGUGAGAAGCAGUCAUUUUUUUCGUCCUUUAUAUGCUCUUCGCUUGCACGGCGUUGUACCCGAGGUGUGCACCCCGUGUUUACACCGCGUGAAAACUUGAGUGCGGGGAGAACUCGAACAUGGUAGCCUGGUGUGUUUGAGGUUCAUCUGCACUGAAAACUUGUACGGCGUGUACGGCGUGCGCGCGUUUCGGGAAGACUGGUCGCUCCACCAAACGAUCUGCCGCCGGCUUGCGCGGCGUGUGUGUGCCGUAGAGGACGCUGGGACCAUUUCGAGUGUGGAAAAAUUUAAGAGUGCCGGACAAGAUUGGCCGCGGGCCUCGCCAUCAGGGUGCACACGCUGAGGGGCUGACACGAUCUGGAGCGUCACGAGCGGAAAGCAAGUCCCACUAGAACGCGUGCCACAGCAAAUCGGGAGAAACCCUUUCAACCGCUGGCACCGGGAACACCGCACGCACUGGUACAUAUCGCAACGUCCUGCACCGCCGUCCAGAAGAAGCAGCACGAGACAACCUUCCAUCGGCCACGUCUGUCCCGCAGGUCAGAAGGCAAACACCACCGGCACGUCAUCUGGAUCGUCUGGCUCAUCGACGACGAAUUGAUUCAGUUCUAACAGAAUAACCUUCCUGCUUCAGGACCCCCUUUUUUGUGUACCGCUGGAAAAUCUGCUCGGAAGCUGAGCGGUCGGUCGGUGCUGUUAAGAGCGGG